GACGAACGCUGGCGGCGUGCUUAACACAUGCAAGUCGAACGGAAAGGCCCUGCUUUUGUGGGGUGCUCGAGUGGCGAACGGGUGAGUAACACGUGAGUAACCUGCCCUUGACUUUGGGAUAACUUCAGGAAACUGGGGCUAAUACCGGAUAGGAGCUCCUGCAGCAUGGUGGGGGUUGGAAAGUUUCGGCGGUUGGGGAUGGACUCGCGGCUUAUCAGCUUGUUGGUGGGGUAGUGGCUUACCAAGGCUUUGACGGGUAGCCGGCCUGCGAGGGUGACCGGCCACAUUGGGGCUGAGACACGGCCCAGACUCCUACGGGAGGCAGCAGUGGGGAAUAUUGCACAAUGGGCGGAAGCCUGAUGCAGCAACGCCGCGUGCGGGAUGACGGCCUUCGGGUUGUAAACCGCUUUCGCCUGUGACGAAGCGUGAGUGACGGUAAUGGGUAAAGAAGCACCGGCUAACUACGUG
rnacentral:rRNA from 1 species